rnacentral:rRNA from 1 species
AUUGAACGCUGGCGGCAGGCCUAACACAUGCAAGUCGAGCGGAUGAAGGGAGCUUGCUCCUGGAUUCAGCGGCGGACGGGUGAGUAAUGCCUAGGAAUCUGCCUGGUCGUGGGGGAUAACGUCCGGAAACGGGCGCUAAUACCGCAUCCGUCCUGAGGGAGAAAGUGGGGGAUCUUCGGACCUCACGCUAUCAGCUGAGCCUAGGUCGGAUUAGCUAGUUGGUGGGGUAAAGGCCUACCAAGGCGACGAUCCGUAACUGGUCUGAGAGGAUGAUCAGUCACACUGGAACUGAGACACGGUCCAGACUCCUACGGGAGGCAGCAGUGGGGAAUAUUGGACAAUGGGCGAAAGCCUGAUCCAGCCAUGCCGCGUGUGUGAAGAAGGUCUUCGGAUUGUAAAGCACUUUAAGUUGGGAGGAAGGGCAGUAAGUUAAUACCUGGCUGUUUUGACGGUACCAACAGAAUAAGCACCGGCUAACUUCGUG